rfam:Aedes aegypti strain Liverpool supercont1.116 genomic scaffold, whole genome shotgun sequence.
GGCUCGGCAGCUUAGUUGGUAAAGCGCUCGUCUAGCAUACAAGAGUCCUGGGUUCAAAUCCCAGCCGAGCAC